UGCCCCUCAGAGCCCCUAGGCAGGGAGAGUGGGCCUGAGAGCCAUGGCAGGAGCCCCAUGAGGCAGACGCCCUCAGGGCACCCAAGGCAAGCUGGCUAGGAUUGGGGUCGGCAGUCAGACGGCCCUGCCCAGGAGGCAAAGGGCCAGGGAGGCCGAGAGGCAAUGCCAACAAGCCCAACCUUUGCUCCCCAAGACCAAGGUUGGUGCAACACAUGCCCCAUCUACACCUACACAGUUCCUGGACAAGUCUACACUAGUCCCCAAGACCCCCAGGCAGGGAGGAUGCUCACACCUUUCCCUCUGCCCAUCUAGACUGGAACACAGGGGCAGGCAGCUCCACCCAGCCCCUGCCUCUCCCAGCUCCAGCCUGAGCGCCCUGCAUCCACCCACCAGGUCCAUCCUGGGCCAUGCAGUGAGGCUGCAUGGAACGGCAUGGGGAGGUGGGAUCUGCCCCUGUGCCUAGAGCACCUUUAUCACCCUCUCACUGACUGGAGGAUCUGCCCAAGCCUCUGCACCUUCCAGCUGUCCCUACACCCACUCCCUAGUCCAAGAAGACUCGGAGCAGCCUGCCCUCCCUCCUGCAGCCCCCAGGCCCACCCAGCCAGCAGGAUCCUCUCAGUCUCACGGCAACACUGAGACCUUGGCACAUGCCCACCCGCCACCCUGUCUCCAGGUUCAAAGUGUGCCCAAAGGCACAGGUCCCAGUGAGUCCCACACUUGGGGCCCACACAGUGCAGCUCCAGGGCCAAGCACAAUGAGGAGGGGGCAGAGUCCAGCUCUGCUCACUGCCGCCUCCUCCACUCUGGCCUCUGGGCUGGGCCUGGGUUCAAGAUGGUUGGGGCAGGCUCCCUGCACCUCGCAGACCCUGCUGGAGAGAGAAAGGGAGAGUCAGAAAGGACACCUCAGGGACAAAACACCCUGGGAGAAGCCAGAAACCGGAUGGCCCCGACUGGGGUGCCUGUGAGCAGAGGGCUGGUGGGUGUGUGCAAAGAGCCUGGCAGGAGUGAGCC
rnacentral:lncRNA from 1 species